AUUGAACGCUGGCGGCAUGCCUUACACAUGCAAGUCGAACGGUAACAGGUUAAGCUGACGAGUGGCGAACGGGUGAGUAAUAUAUCGGAACGUGCCCAGUAGUGGGGGAUAGCCCGGCGAAAGCCGGAUUAAUACCGCAUACGACCUACGGGUGAAAGGGGGGGAUCGCAAGACCUCUCGCUAUUGGAGCGGCCGAUAUCAGAUUAGGUAGUUGGUGGGGUAAAGGCCUACCAAGCCUGCGAUCUGUAGUUGUUCUGAGAGGACGACCAGCCACACUGGGACUGAGACACGGCCCAGACUCCUACGGGAGGCAGCAGUGGGGAAUCUUGGACAAUGGGCGCAAGCCUGAUUUAGCAAUGCCGCGUGCAGGAAGAAGGCCUUCGGGUUGUAAACUGCUUUUGUCAGGGAAGAAAUCCUCUGGGUUAAUACCUCGGGGGGAUGACGGUACCUGAAGAAUAAGCACCGGCUAACUACGUGCCAGCCGCCGCGGUAAUAC
rnacentral:rRNA from 1 species